GCCGCUGUAGCCCAGUUAUUAGAAGCGUCGCCAGUACAGAUGGUGAAGGUCGCUGGUUCAAAUCCAGCCUGCGGUG